UUGAUUCGAGCUCCGGCUCGACUCUCCCACCCAAUGUGUACCUACCUCUGUUGCUUUGGCGGGCCGCGGUCCUCCGCACCGGCGCCCUUCGGGGGGCUGGCCAGCGCCCGCCAGAGGACCAUAAAACUCCAGUCAGUGAACUUCGCAGUCUGAAAAACAAGUUAAUAAACUAAAACUUUCAACAACGGAUCUCUUGGUUCUGGCAUCGAUGAAGAACGCAGCGAAAUGCGAUAAGUAAUGUGAAUUGCAGAAUUCAGUGAAUCAUCGAAUCUUUGAACGCACAUUGCGCCCCUUGGUAUUCCGAGGGGCAUGCCUGUUCGAGCGUCAUUUCAACCCUCAAGCUCUGCUUGGUAUUGGGCCCCGUCCUCCACGGACGCGCCUUAAAGACCUCGGCGGUGGCGUCUUGCCUCAAGCGUAGUAGAAAACACCUCGCUUUGGAGCGCACGGCGUCGCCCGCCGGACGAACCUUU
rnacentral:rRNA from 1 species